rnacentral:rRNA from 1 species
GAGUGCAGAGAGAUGUCUAGUGGGAAUUACAAGUGUAGCGGUGAGCAUGUGUAGAGAUUUGAUAGGAACACCAAUGGCGAAGGCGACUAACAUGGCCUGUAACUGACGCUGAGGCUCGAAAGCGUGGGGAGCAAACAGGAUUAGAUACCCUGGUAGUCCACGCCGUAAACGAUGAGUGAUAAGUGUUAGGGGGUUUCCGCCCCUUAGUGUUGCAGUAAACGCAUUAAGCACUCCGCCUGGGGAGUACGGUCGCAAGACUGAAACUCAAAGGAAUUGACGGGGGCCCGCACAAGCGGUGGAGCAUGUGGUUUAAUUUGAAGCAACGCGAAGAACCUUACCAGGUCUUGACAUCCCGUUUACCAAAGUAGAGAUAUGGUUUUCCCUUCGGGGACAACGGUGACAGGUGGUGCAUGGUUGUCGUCAGGUCGUGUCGUGUGAUGUGGGGUUAAGUCCAGCAACGAGCGCAACCCUUAAGUUUAGUUUCCAGCAUUCAGUUGGGCACUCUAAGGUGACUGCCGGUGACAAACCGGAGGAAGGUGGGGAUGACGUCAAAUCAUCAUGCCCCUUAUGGCUUGGGCUACACACGUGCUACAAUGGUCGGUACAAACGGUUGCCAACCCGCGAGGGGGAGCCAAUCUGAUAAAACCGUUCUCAGUUCGGAUUGUAGUCUGCAACUCGC